CGUAGGGGGCGAGCGUUGUCCGGAUUCAUUGGGCGUAAAGAGCUCGUAGGCGGCUUGGCAAGUCGGGUGUGAAAUCUCUGGGCUUAACUCAGAGAGGCCACUCGAUACUGCUAUGGCUAGAGUCCGGUAGGGGACCAUGGAAUUCCUGGUGUAGCGGUGAAAUGCGCAGAUAUCAGGAGGAACACCGGUGGCGAAGGCGGUGGUCUGGGCCGGCACUGACGCUGAGGAGCGAAAGCGUGGGGAGCGAACAGGAUUAGAUACCCUGGUAGUCCACGCCGUAAACGUUGGGCACUAGGUGUGGGGCCUUAUCAACGGGUUCCGUGCCGUAGCUAACGCAUUAAGUGCCCCGCCUGGGGAGUACGGCCGCAAGGCUAA
rnacentral:rRNA from 1 species